rnacentral:rRNA from 1 species
AACGAACGCUGGCGGCAUGCCUAACACAUGCAAGUCGAACGAGACCUUCGGGUCUAGUGGCGCACGGGUGCGUAACGCGUGGGAACCUGCCCUUAUGUUCGGAAUAACUCCCCUAAAGGGGUGCUAAUACCGGAUAAUGUCUUCGGACCAAAGAUUUAUCGCCUUUGGAUGGGCCCGCGUUGGAUUAGCUAGUUGGUAGGGUAAAAGCCUACCAAGGCGACGAUCCAUAGCUGGUCUGAGAGGAUGAUCAGCCACACUGGGACUGAGACACGGCCCAGACUCCUACGGGAGGCAGCAGUGGGGAAUAUUGGACAAUGGGCGAAAGCCUGAUCCAGCAAUGCCGCGUGAGUGAUGAAGGCCUUAGGGUUGUAAAGCUCUUCUACCCGGGAUGAUAAUGACAGUACCGGGAGAAUAAGCUCCGGCUAACUCCGUG